UUUUCUGACGGGUUAUACUGACACCCGCAGAGGUCUUCUCUACUCUCGCAAUCCCCUUGCGCGAAGCCUCACCUCUGUAUUUUUCCUGUGCUCCAUCUUUCUGCGCUCCAUCUCUUCUCUCUCCUCCAAGCACUCCCCCUACGUGAAAGCUCACCUCUGUAAUUUUUCUGCGCUCCAUCUCUCUGCGCACUAUCUCCUUUCGCCCUCUCUGCGCUCCAUCUCCUCUCGCCCUCACUGUGCUCGAUCUCUCUGGAGCGGCAAGCUCUUGCUCUCUCGUUUUUCCAAGAGUGCAGGUCUCGAGAGCGCAAAGUGACAAUACCCUGCUUCGAAUCGCCUGUCACUCCUUUGGCAUCUCGCAUUCCCCUUGUGGCUGAAUGCCCUGAUUAUCCCAUUCUCAAUGCUAAGGAAAAAAUACGUCGUACGCUAAGGAAUGAGAAGGCAGCAGAAGUGAGUUGAUGGGUGGGUGUCGGACUGGAAUGGCUAAAGUGACAAAUGCAUGUGACCUUCCUGCAAGGAGGGUUAGUCACACAGUUGGUCCUAAGUUUGCUAUCAAAUAACAUACGGCUGCCGAAAAUGCUCUCAGCCAUUGUUAUCGUUCUUGUCUCCGGCUUCUUAUUGAGAAUGGACUUCAGAGGUGGUCUUGUUAGCUUUUGUAGUGGUUGGAGUGAUGUAUAAUAUUCUUCACUUAUGUUUUGUAGUGGUUGGGCUAGCCUGAGAGUUUGGUCGGGGUAUUACUUUGUUUUGUCAAUACCCAAGCUGGUAUGUGUAAAUGGUUAAAAGUAUGUGGUUCAACGUUAGCCUGGAGGCUCUUGUAUGUGGUUCAACGUUAGCCAGACAAAAUUUUCUAUCUCAAUGAAUUAUGGUGGUAUGUUGGUUAGUUUGGUAUGGCUCCCAGUAUUUAGCCAUGUUGAGGGAACAUGGCUUGUUGAUUUUGAAUUAGGAAAGUGAGAGAGGGGGGGAGAGAGCGGUUGGUACAUGGAAAGGGUAAAAAGGACACCGGAGAUUGGGGUUUGUGUGGCUUGGACUUUUACAGCAAAUUGGGCAAGUGGUCCGCCCAUCCAGCAAUGAAGUGAAAACAACUGUGGAGAGGGGCCUUUUUUUUUCCGACGAGGCUGGUGGGUGGUGGUGCAAACCACGUGCUAAAGCUCAAGGGAAGGGAAGGCAUGGAGUAAAGCAACCCUCAUCACAUGCUGAUGGGUACACGGAUGAGGACCAACUUGGCUUUAACUGUGGGGAACAUAUGUCUAUAGUUUGGAAUAUGAUCUCAUUUCAAUUC